CUCUCCCUCUAAGCCAGAUGCCGGGCGUCUACGGGCGCCCGGAGAGUGCCGAGGGGAAAAGGAGCCGGACUCCUUCUCCGCAAGGGGAAAACAUUAACAGGCGCGGACGACUGGUAGGCGUAUGCCGAAGGCCGUCCGCACCG
rnacentral:ncRNA from 12 species